AGAGUUUGAUCAUGGCUCAGGAUGAACGCUAGCGGCAGGCCUAAUACAUGCAAGUCGAACGAUACCAGAGAGCUUGCUUUCUGGGAAAGUGGCGCACGGGUGCGUAACGCGUAUGCAACCUACCUUAAUCAGGGGGAUAGCCUCUCGAAAGAGAGAUUAACACCGCAUAAAAUCACACUUCGGCAUCGAAGAAUGAUCAAAUAUUUAUAGGAUUAAGAUGGGCAUGCGUGACAUUAGCUAGUUGGUAAGGUAACGGCUUACCAAGGCUACGAUGUCUAGGGGAUCUGAGAGGAUGACCCCCCACACUGGUACUGAGACACGGACCAGACUCCUACGGGAGGCAGCAGUAAGGAAUAUUGGUCAAUGGGGGCAACCCUGAACCAGCCAUGCCGCGUGCAGGAAGACGGCCCUACGGGUUGUAAACUGCUUUUAUACGGGAAUAAAUCUCGCUACGUGUAGUGAGUUGAAUGUACUGUAAGAAUAAGGAUCGGCUAACUCCGUGCCAGCAGCCGCGGUAAUACGGAGGAUCCAAGCGUUAUCCGGAUUUAUUGGGUUUAAAGGGUGCGUAGGCGGCCUAUUAAGUCAGGGGUGAAAGACGGUGGCUCAACCAUCGCAGUGCCCUUGAUACUGAUGGGCUUGAUUACACUUGAGGUAGGCGGAAUGUGACAAGUAGCGGUGAAAUGCAUAGAUAUGUCACAGAACACCAAUUGCGAAGGCAGCUUACUAAGGUGUCAAUGACGCUGAGGCACGAAAGCGUGGGGAUCAAACAGGAUUAGAUACCCUGGUAGUCCACGCCCUAAACGAUGAAUACUCGAUGUUAGCGAUA
rnacentral:rRNA from 1 species